AAUAAGAAGCAAAAAAUUGCAUUUAGUUUCGACCUAAAAAUUUGAUUUUACUAAUCCUUAUUU
rnacentral:tRNA from 1 species